rnacentral:rRNA from 1 species
GCGAACGGGUGAGUAACACGUGGGUGAUCUGCCCUGCACUUCGGGAUAAGCCUGGGAAACUGGGUCUAAUACCGGAUAUGACCAAGGACUGCAUGGUUUUUGGUGGAAAGGUUUACUGGUGCAGGAUGAGCCCGCGGCCUAUCAGCUUGUUGGUGGGGUAAUGGCCUACCAAGGCGACGACGGGUAGCCGGCCUGAGAGGGCGACCGGCCACACUGGGACUGAGACACGGCCCAGACUCCUACGGGAGGCAGCAGUGGGGAAUAUUGCACAAUGGGCGAAAGCCUGAUGCAGCGACGCCGCGUGAGGGAUGACGGCCUUCGGGUUGUAAACCUCUUUCAGCAGGGACGAAGCGCAAGUGACGGUACCUGCAGAAGAAGCACCGGCCAACUACGUGCCAGCAGCCGCGGUAAUACGUAGGGUGCGAGCGUUGUCCGGAAUUACUGGGCGUAAAGAGCUCGUAGGCGGUUUGUCGCGUCGUCUGUGAAAACCCGCAGCUCAACUGCGGGCUUGCAGGCGAUACGGGCAGACUUGAGUACUGCAGGGGAGACUGGAAUUCCUGGUGUAGCGGUGAAAUGCGCAGAUAUCAGGAGGAACACCGGUGGCGAAGGCGGGUCUCUGGGCAGUAACUGACGCUGAGGAGCGAAAGCGUGGGUAGCGAACAGGAUUAGAUACCCUGGUAGUCCACGCCGUAAACGGUGGGCCGCUAGGUGUGGGUUUCCUU